UCAGCAAACCAAUAGGUAUUUACAAUUUGAUUUUUAUAUAUAUGUAUUCCUCAUUGACUAACUAUUUAAUAUUUCAAUUUAUUAGAUAUUUUGGCUAUUGCUCUCAAAAUGAACCCACCAAAAGAAGUCAACACUCCCUAUGGACUACAUACAAUUCAAGAGAUAUAUUUAAUUGAUGAAAGGUAAACUAUACAUUUAAUCUACCACUAUAAAUACACCCUUGUGUUCAUUUUUAUUGUGAUAUAUUAAAUACUAUUUAACAAAAUUUUUGCUAAUCCAUUUUUUUAUUUCUUUACAAAGUUGUAGCUUCAAACCAGUAUGUUUGACGAUGUGGGGGCAUGAAGUUCACGAUGAAUGCUUACAAAUAGCAGAAGUAAUCGAAGAAAGACCCAUAAUAUUGGGAUCAAAACUAAUUGUUCAAACCAAGAGAGGUUUGCAUUAAUUAAACUACUGAUAUUUAAAAGCGAAAAUUCAAAAAUUCAAUUAACACAUACAUUUUGAUUUAGGGCUGUCUCUAUCGUCACGCGACACGAGUACCUUCAAAAUCAAUCCUCAACUCCUCGAAGCAGAAGCACUAAAGGAAUGGUAAUACUCAUAAAAUCAAAUACACAUACUAUUAUAGCUACACAUUUCACAAAAAAAAUUAAAUUUUUGUAUACUAUAUUUAUAAUAAUACUUACUCUAUUUUAAGGGCGGAGAGCAACGAAACAAAAAUUAAAAACGCAAUAGCAAACUGCUUGACAUACGAAUCUUCUCCAAAAUCUUUUGUUGGAUUACACGAAAUAGUGACUAACAUCUAAAUUUCAGAGUUGACGAAAAAUUUGCAACUGAAUGAGGUAAAAACUACUAUAAUAUUUACUUUAUGAAACUUUCGUUUCAAUAUCUUACUAUUAUUAACACCAUUUGAUUUGGAUGUAGAAAAAAUAUUUUUGGAUUGAGGCGGCUAUAAAAAUAACUGACACUCUCCAGAAUUUUUAUUACAUGUCAUGUGACGCAUGUCAUAAAAAAAUAGAUUUAUACAAUCGCGAUGAAAAAAUCAUAUGUGACAAGCCAACAUGCGGCCAAGAAGGAUUUCCUACACCACGUGCUAUAGCAUAUGUUGAACUUGAUGACAAUACAAAGAGCCUAUCUGCUGUCAUGUUCGCAGAUAUUGUCGAAAAAAUAUUUUCGUGUAAUGCUGCCCAACUAAUGAACUAUACUGCAGAGGAACACCGCCGCUUUGUCGACACUACCAUAAUCAAUUUAUCAAAGAAAAAAU